rnacentral:rRNA from 1 species
UACGAAGGGGGCUAGCGUUGUUCGGAAUUACUGGGCGUAAAGCGCGCGCAGGCGGCUAUCCAAGUCAGUGGUGAAAGCCCGGAGCUCAACUCCGGAACUGCCAUUGAAACUGUUUAGCUUGAGGAUGAGAGAGGUGAGUGGAAUUCCCAGUGUAGAGGUGAAAUUCGUAGAUAUUGGGAAGAACACCAGUGGCGAAGGCGGCUCACUGGACCGGUAUUGACGCUGAGGUGCGAAAGCGUGGGGAGCAAACAGG